rnacentral:lncRNA from 1 species
UGUACCAAUUUUGUUCAUAAAAACAAUGAGUUUUGUACCCAGGAUAAGCUAGAAGGAUAUGACGUAACGACAGAUAGAGGUAAACCAAACAGAUUUAUAUGCUUAGAUAAUAAAAUGGACAUAAAUAAAAAGGAAUAUGGGCACUAUACAAAUAAUACAUAUAAUAAUAACGAUACUUAUGACAGUGUACAUAUAAACUGUGAUAAUGAUUAUUUUAAAAAAGUUAAACAAAAUAAUCAAAUUAUAAUAGAUUCUAAAGAUAUAGGAAAUAGGAAUAUCAAUAACACUCACAAUUGUGUUAAUGGUAGUAUCAGCAGUAGAAGUAGUAACAACAAUAAACAUAAUUUAACCGGUAGUAGCUAUGAGUCUAGCAAUUACAACACUAACAGCAAUAAUGACAGUACUAGUAAUCGUAAUUAUUAUAGUUGUCAUGACACAAAUGAUCAAGAUAAUAUUUCUGUUGCUGCAACAUAUAAUAACGUAGUAUAUAACAAAAAUACUAUUCCUAUGGAUAAUGAAAGAACAAAAAAUGAUACAUUAAAAAAAAAAAAAACUACUACAACUAUCGGUACUAUACCUACAACUUCUAUCACAACUACCCCAAAUGCAUCUGUAUCUACUACUACUUUAUUAGAUACGAAAAAUUAUAUUGAAGAAUACUUUCAUAAAAUAACACCAGAAAAUUGCAUGAAGAAUACAAAAUACGAAAACGCAUCUAACACACAUAACGACUUCGCAAACAACAAAAACAACAACAACAACAACAACAACAACGACAUUACAUCUCAGUUGAAGAAUUAUAAAAAUAGUGGGUAUAACACAAAUAGCCAGAAUGGUGGGCACAACAGUAAUGACAAUAGUAACAACCACAUUUGUGACCACGAUGUCAGUAGAGGUGUACAUUAUUGUGCUAUAGAUAACAGAAAAAAAAAAAAGAACCAACCAUAUAAGGAGUUACCAUGUAAAGACAUAAAUAGUACAUGUGUGAGUAAUAAGAAUGAAUGUAAUACAAACACAUUAACUGAAAAAAUGGAAAACGGUAAUGGUAAUGAAGAGAGACAGAAUAAAAAAUAUAAUAUUAAAAAUUUGGGUAAUAAUAAAAGUAAUAAUAUUAUGAUGAAUGAACAAAUGGAUAUGUCAUUACAAGAUACGUACGUAAUGCGCCAGAACAACAAUACAUAUAAAGACACGCACAAUGAAAAUUGCUAUAAUAAUAAUGACAUCAAAAUUACUGCUACUUCUGUUACUUCUGCUGCUACUACUGUUACUUCUGCUGCUACUACUGUUACUUCUGCUGCUACUACUGCUACUUCUGCUGCUACUACUGUUACUUCUGCUGCUACUACUGUUACUUCUGCUGCUACUACUGUUACUUCUGCUGCUACUACUGUUACUUCUGCUGCUACUACUGCUACUUCUGCUGCUACUACUGCUACUUCUAAUGCUACUACUGUUACUUCUAAUGCUAACAAUAAUGACAGUGCUUGUAACAUUAAUAACCAGGUGUCACCAACACGUAAUAUACGCACGUCCAACGGGAAAG